UGAGGAAUCUUGCGCAAUGGGGGAAACCCUGACGCAGCAACGCCGCGUGAGUGAGGAAGGUCUUCGGAUCGUAAAGCCCUGUCAGUUGGAAAGAAAUGUCUGAAAGUCAAUCCCUUUCAGGCUUGACGGUACCAACAGAGGAAGCACCGGCUAACUCCGUGCCAGCAGCCGCGGUAAUACGGGGGGUGCAAGCGUUGUUCGGAAUUAUUGGGCGUAAAGAGCGUGUAGGCGGCCGGAUAUGUCAGAUGUGAAAGCCCCAGGCUGAACCCGGGAAGUGCAUUUGAAACUGUGCGGCUCGAGUAGAGGAGAGGGAAGGGGAAGUCCUGGUGUAGAGGUGAAAUUCGUAGAUAUCAGGAGGAACACCAGUGGCGGAAGCGGCUUCCUGGCCCUAUACUGACGCUGAGACGCGAGAGCG
rnacentral:rRNA from 1 species